rnacentral:rRNA from 1 species
AAACCAACCGGGAUUGCCUCAGUAACGGCGAGUGAAGCGGCAAAAGCUCAAAUUUGAAAUCUGGUACCUUCGGUGCCCGAGUUGUAAUUUGUAGAGGGCGACUUUGGGGCGGCUCCUUGUCUAUGUUCCUUGGAACAGGACGUCAUAGAGGGUGAGAAUCCCGUGUGGCGAGGAGUGCGGUUCCGUGUAAAGCGCUCUCGAAGAGUCGAGUUGUUUGGGAAUGCAGCUCUAAGUGGGUGGUAAAUUACAUCUAAAGCUAAAUAUUGGCGAGAGACCGAUAGCGAACAAGUACAGUGAUGGAAAGAUGAAAAGAACUUUGAAAAGAGAGUGAAAAAGUACGUGAAAUUGUUGAAAGGGAAGGGCAUUUGAUCAGACAUGGUGUUUUGCGCCCCCCGCUCCUUGUGGGUGGGGGACUCUCGCAGCUCACUGGGCCAGCAUCAGUUUUGGCGGCCGGACAAAACUGCAGGAACGUAGCUUGCUUCGGGAAGUGUUACAGCCUGCAGGAAUACGGCCAGCCGGGACUGAGGAAUGCGAUUCGUCAAGGAUGCUGGCAUAAUGGUUAUAUGCCGC